rnacentral:lncRNA from 1 species
UAUGUUUAACCAAAAAUAUAUAAAUUCUUACAGAAAUCUUCAAGAGAGAACAAUGUCGUUAUUGUUUCAAACUUAAAACAUAUAUCAAACGAAUUAAUGAGUUCAUGUCGUCUUGCAGUGGCGUUAUCAAAAUGGGGAAAGCAUUUAAACGGAUACUUUAAACAAUAUCUCUCACCACCAACUCUUUCAUUGCUGGUAUAGUUAGAAGAUGCUUGAAUGUGUAGUAGUAUUAGUAUCGACGUAUCGUAUUGUAGUUUCCAACUCUACCUUCAUGGUUUAUGGCGAACCGUUCCAUAAAAUUUCAUUACGUAUAACCUCUUUUUUUAAGUCAACAUAUUUUCGUGGUCAUCACAAGCUUAGGGCAUCAAGAAAAAAUUGAAAAUGUUGGACCGGCACCGACGAUCCUAGCUUAACAAAUACAGAGAAUGGAUUUUUGUUCACUAAUCCAAUUUAUUUGAUAAUUGACCGAAGAUGCUGAAAUAUCAAAGGUAAAAUUUGAACUUAGGAACUUAAAGAUAUAGAGGUCAAUUUAUUUUAUUUUAUUGAUAAAAUACAACGUCAAUCAUUUUUUCUUAAAAUGAUUGGGAAAAGAAAAGAAGAAUGAACAUUAUUUCUUAUUAGAUAAUUUAAACUUUCUUUUUAUGCAGUAGAAAUUCAUCAACCUUCCGUCUCGUCCUCCAAGUAAAAUGUAAUCAGUGAUCUCCCAACUUUUAUCUUUCA